rnacentral:rRNA from 1 species
GUGAGUCAUCGAGUCUUUGAACGCACAUUGCGCCCUCUGGUAUUCCGGAGGGCAUGCCUGUUUGAGUGUCAUUAACUUCUCACAAAACCUUCUGGUUUCUGUUGAUGUUGGGAGUUGCGUUUCCUUGUGAGACGCUCUCCUCAAAUGCAUUGGUGCGGCCUGCCGCCCGGUUACACAACGUUCUAGGUUCGUCCAACUCGUUGCUAAAUCGGUGCACCAUUUGGUGCUGCACCUAAAGCCCGCCUUGUGCCUUGUGCUCUUGGCUUAUCUUAUUUAUUGACCUCAGAUCAGGUAGGAAUACGCGCUGAACUUAA